rnacentral:lncRNA from 1 species
GUAAAAAGGCCAACUCGCUGGAGGACGGAAGGGUGGCCUGAAGACUGAGGAGGGGCAGGUCAGGUGCCCAGUCCAGAGAGGAGGAGUUGAAGAUGACAAGCCGCACCCCACCUCCCCCCAACUCACUUGGGACUGGAUCCACCCUGAGGAGCCUCGGGUCAACAUCCUGUUUCCGGCAAGCCCUCCUGGAGGCCACACAGAGGGGUGUUUGUUCGUAGUGGGCGACGGGAGAGAUGCUAAUCACGUUGGAUAGCUGGUCCCAGCUGAAGGUCAGGAGGUAGGCCACGAGAGAGCACGGGAACAAAACAGAGACAUCCAGAGAGUCAGAUCUGAGAAACAGCACAGUGCCGUGGAUCCAUCAUUUACCUACCAAGAUAACUACCUUACUUACCAUAAACGUGAACGAUGCAGGCGGCUAGAGGGCUCGCUCGGUAGCUAAAAGUGAUUGCUACACAGGGGCAGCAAUCUGAAUUCAGUCCCCAGGAGCCAUGGAAAGCAGGAAGGAGAUGACCAGCUGCGUGGUUAGCUUCUGACUUCCCCACACGUGCUGUGACCCACACCCACACCAAUAAAUAUAUUUCUACUUUA